rfam:Candidatus Muproteobacteria bacterium RIFCSPLOWO2_01_FTLL_60_18 rifcsplowo2_01_scaffold_33494, whole genome shotgun sequence.
GUGAGGGCGACCGAGCGUGGGAAGGAAGCGGGAAACGAAACGACGAGCCGACGAACAGAAACCGGAUACUAAAGGCGGUGCCGUUCGGGGCGAGCGGGCAACUGAUCGCGAAGCUCCAGUGGCCAAGCAACGGUGGCGUAAAUCCGGCGGUUGUGUCGUGACGGUCGGUGUU